rnacentral:rRNA from 1 species
AGUGAACGCUGGCGGUAGGCCUAACACAUGCAAGUCGAACGGCAGCACAGUAAGAGCUUGCUCUUACGGGUGGCGAGUGGCGGACGGGUGAGGAAUACAUCGGAAUCUACUUUUUCGUGGGGGAUAACGUAGGGAAACUUACGCUAAUACCGCAUACGACCUACGGGUGAAAGCAGGGGAUCUUCGGACCUUGCGCGAUUGAAUGAGCCGAUGUCGGAUUAGCUAGUUGGCGGGGUAAGGGCCCACCAAGGCGACGAUCCGUAGCUGGUCUGAGAGGAUGAUCAGCCACACUGGAACUGAGACACGGUCCAGACUCCUACGGGAGGCAGCAGUGGGGAAUAUUGGACAAUGGGCGCAAGCCUGAUCCAGCCAUACCGCGUGGGUGAAGAAGGCCUUCGGGUUGUAAAGCCCUUUUGUUGGGAAAGAAAAGCAGCAGGUUAAUACCGCGCUGUUCUGACGGUACCCAAAGAAUAAGCACCGGCUAACUUCGUG